GAUGAACGCUGGCGGCGUGCCUAAUACAUGCAAGUCGAGCGAACAGACGAGGAGCUUGCUCCUCUGACGUUAGCGGCGGACGGGUGAGUAACACGUGGAUAACCUACCUAUAAGACUGGGAUAACUUCGGGAAACCGGAGCUAAUACCGGAUAAUAUAUUGAACCGCAUGGUUCAAUAGUGAAAGACGGUUUUGCUGUCCCUUAUAGAUGGAUCCGCGCCGCAUUAGCUAGUUGGUAAGGUAACGGCUUACCAAGGCGACGAUGCGUAGCCGACCUGAGAGGGUGAUCGGCCACACUGGAACUGAGACACGGUCCAGACUCCUACGGGAGGCAGCAGUAGGGAAUCUUCCGCAAUGGGCGAAAGCCUGACGGAGCAACGCCGCGUGAGUGAUGAAGGUCUUCGGAUCGUAAAACUCUGUUAUUAGGGAAGAACAAAUGUGUAAGUAACUAUGCACGUCUUGACGGUACCGAAUCAGAAAGCCACGGCUAACUACGUG
rnacentral:rRNA from 1 species